rnacentral:miRNA from 1 species
CAAGUCCAAAGUAGGAAUGUUGCA